UGUUUGUUCCUGUCUGCAGAUCGGCUUCGUGCUGUACUCCCCCCACGGGCAGGUCUGGGAUCAGUCGGAUCACAACAACGUGAUGUUCGUCACCAUGUGCUUCUCCUGGCACCUCGCCGUCGCCAUGGUUAUCGUCAGCGGGAUCUACGCCGCCGUCACCUGUGUGGUUCGCUCGCGGCUCAGACGGAUUCCUCCGAUGGAGAUGGGACUCCUGAAGCCUCGAGACCGAGAGCCGGAGUCUGAGGACGAGAUCUUAUAGACCAGAUCUUACAAAGACCAGAUCUUAUACAGACCAGAUCUUAAAGACCAGAUCUUAUAAAGACCAGAUCUUAAAGACCAGAUCUUAAAGACCAGAUCUUAUACAGACCAGAUCUUAUACAGACCAGAUCUUAUAAAGACCAGAUCUUAUAAAGACCAGAUCUUAAAGACCAGAUCUUAUACAGACCAGAUCUUAAAGACCAGAUCUU